GGUGCUGUGCUGGCUGAAGUUCCAUGUCUACAGCAAGGAUCCUAUCUGGAAGCACAGAAGUUGUCCUCUAGCCACAGCAGCUCCAACUUUUCCGAUUGUUGUUGCUGUUUUCUCCUAUCACCCCCAUCCCCUUUUGACAAAGAUCCAACUGUAGAAAGUCUUACGUAACAGUUCAGGACUACUUCGGUUCUUUUACCGGUGAAAUAAAGGUGUGAUAAUGUGGUAAAUCCGGAGAGAUACCAAGCUGUGGACUCUUGCAGACUUCAGCCAGCACUGAAAUGCAACACUGAGGGCUUUGGCAGCUGCAUUACAUACUCUGAAAUUCUUACAUCAUUACUCUGGCAAAUGAGAAGGAAUCUGCUAGUUUGAUUUAGCUCGACCCUGUGUCACAAGCAUGUUCUGAGACAGGUAAAGAAGGGAGCAGCAUAGACAAUGAGUGUUGGAACAAUGAAGUCUGCUGUUCAAGUUCUGACUAUGGAACUCUGG